rnacentral:rRNA from 1 species
UACGGAGGAUGCAAGCGUUAUCCGGAUUCAUUGGGUUUAAAGGGUGCGCAGGCGGAGUGAUAAGUCAGUGGUGAAAGCCUACAGCUUAACUGUAGAACUGCCAUUGAUACUGUCAUUCUUGAGUAUUGUUGAGGUAGGCGGAAUGUGUCAUGUAGCGGUGAAAUGCUUAGAUAUGACACAGAACACCGAUCGCGAAGGCAGCUUACCAAGCAAUAACUGACGCUCAUGCACGAAAGCGUGGGGAUCAAACAGG